rnacentral:rRNA from 1 species
CGGUGAUCUAGCCAUGGGCAGGUUGAAGGUUGGGUAACACUAACUGGAGGACCGAACCGACUAAUGUUGAAAAAUUAGCGGAUGACUUGUGGCUGGGGGUGAAAGGCCAAUCAAACCGGGAGAUAGCUGGUUCUCCCCGAAAGCUAUUUAGGUAGCGCCUCGUGAAUUCAUCUCCGGGGGUAGAGCACUGUUUCGGCAAGGGGGUCAUCCCGACUUACCAACCCGAUGCAAACUGCGAAUACCGGAGAAUGUUAUCACGGGAGACACACGGCGGGUGCUAACGUCCGUCGUGAAGAGGGAAACAACCCAGACCGCCAGCUAAGGUCCCAAAGUCAUGGUUAAGUGGGAAACGAUGUGGGAAGGCCCAGACAGCCAGGAUGUUGGCUUAGAAGCAGCCAUCAUUUAAAGAAAGCGUAAUAGCUCACUGGUCGAGUCGGCCUGCGCGGAAGAUGUAACGGGGCUAAACCAUGCACCGAAGCUGCGGCAGCGACACUGUGUGUUGUUGGGUAGGGGAGCGUUCUGUAAGCCUGUGAAGGUGUGCUGUGAGGCAUGCUGGAGGUAUCAGAAGUGCGAAUGCUGACAUAAGUAACGAUAAAGCGGGUGAAAAGCCCGCUCGCCGGAAGACCAAGGGUUCCUGUCCAACGUUAAUCGGGGCAGGGUGAGUCGACCCCUAAGGCGAGGCCGAAAGGCGUAGUCGAUGGGAAACAGGUUAAUAUUCCUGUACUUGGUGUUACUGCGAAGGGGGGACGGAGAAGGCUAUGUUGGCCGGGCGACGGUUGUCCCGGUUUAAGCGUGUAGGCUGGUUUUCCAGGCAAAUCCGGAAAAUCAAGGCUGAGGCGUGAUGACGAGGCACUACGGUGCUGAAGCAACAAAUGCCCUGCUUCCAGGAAAAGCCUCUAAGCAUCAGGUAACAUCAAAUCGUACCCCAAACCGACACAGGUGGUCAGGUAGAGAAUACCAAGGCGCUUGAGAGAACUCGGGUGAAGGAACUAGGCAAAAUGGUGCCGUAACUUCGGGAGAAGGCACGCUGAUAUGUAGGUGAAGUCCCUCGCGGAUGGAGCUGAAAUCAGUCGAAGAUACCAGCUGGCUGCAACUGUUUAUUAAAAACACAGCACUGUGCAAACACGAAAGUGGACGUAUACGGUGUGACGCCUGCCCGGUGCCGGAAGGUUAAUUGAUGGGGUCAGCGCAAGCGAAGCUCUUGAUCGAAGCCCCGGUAAACGGCGGCCGUAACUAUAACGGUCCUAAGGUAGCGAAAUUCCUUGUCGGGUAAGUUCCGACCUGCACGAAUGGCGUAAUGAUGGCCAGGCUGUCUCCACCCGAGACUCAGUGAAAUUGAACUCGCUGUGAAGAUGCAGUGUACCCGCGGCAAGACGGAAAGACCCCGUGAACCUUUACUAUAGCUUGACACUGAACAUUGAGCCUUGAUGUGUAGGAUAGGUGGGAGGCUUUGAAGUGUGGACGCCAGUCUGCAUGGAGCCGACCUUGAAAUACCACCCUUUAAUGUUUGAUGUUCUAACGUGGACCCGUGAUCCGGGUUGCGGACAGUGUCUGGUGGGUAGUUUGACUGGGGCGGUCUCCUCCUAAAGAGUAACGGAGGAGCACGAAGGUUGGCUAAUCCUGGUCGGACAUCAGGAGGUUAGUGCAAUGGCAUAAGCCAGCUUGACUGCGAGCGUGACGGCGCGAGCAGGUGCGAAAGCAGGUCAUAGUGAUCCGGUGGUUCUGAAUGGAAGGGCCAUCGCUCAACGGAUAAAAGGUACUCCGGGGAUAACAGGCUGAUACCGCCCAAGAGUUCAUAUCGACGGCGGUGUUUGGCACCUCGAUGUCGGCUCAUCACAUCCUGGGGCUGAAGUAGGUCCCAAGGGUAUGGCUGUUCGCCAUUUAAAGUGGUACGCGAGCUGGGUUUAGAACGUCGUGAGACAGUUCGGUCCCUAUCUGCCGUGGGCGCUGGAGAACUGAGGGGGGCUGCUCCUAGUACGAGAGGACCGGAGUGGACGCAUCACUGGUGUUCGGGUUGUCAUGCCAAUGGCACUGCCCGGUAGCUAAAUGCGGAAGAGAUAAGUGCUGAAAGCAUCUAAGCACGAAACUUGCCCCGAGAUGAGUUCUCCCUGACCCUUUAAGGGUCCUGAAGGAACGUUGAAGACGACGACGUUGAUAGGCCGGGUGUGUAAGCGCAGCGAUGCGUUGAGCUAACCGGUACUAAUGAACCGUGAGGCUUAACCUUACAACGCCGAAGGUGUUU